AUUGAACGCUGGCGGCAGGCCUAACACAUGCAAGUCGAACGAGCGGCGGACGGGUGAGUAAUGUCUGGGAAACUGCCUGAUGGAGGGGGAUAACUACUGGAAACGGUAGCUAAUACCGCAUACCAUCAGAUGUGCCCAGAUGGGAUUAGCUAGUAGGUGGGGUAACGGCUCACCUAGGCGACGAUCCCUAGCUGGUCUGAGCGGAUGACCAGCCACACGGGAACUGAGACACGGUCCAGACUACGACGGGAGGCAGCAGUGGGGAAUAUUGCACAAUGGGCGCAAGCCUGAGACAGCCAUGCCGCGUGUAGGAAGAAGGCCUUCGGGUUGUAAAGUACUUUCAGCGAGGAGGCGUUACUCGCAGAAGAAGCACCGGCUAACUCCGUGCCAGCAGCCGCGGUAAUAC
rnacentral:rRNA from 1 species